rnacentral:rRNA from 1 species
CAGCCGCCGCGGUAAUACGUAGGUGGCAAGCGUUGUCCGGAAUUAUUGGGCGUAAAGGGCUCGCAGGCGGUUUCUUAAGUCUGAUGUGAAAGCCCCCGGCUCAACCGGGGAGGGUCAUUGGAAACUGGGAAACUUGAGUGCAGAAGAGGAGAGUGGAAUUCAACGUGUAGCGGUGAAAUGCGUAGAGAUGUGGAGGAACACCAGUGGCGAAGGCGACUCUCUGGUCUGUAACUGACGCUGAGGAGCGAAAGCGUGGGGAGCGAACAGGAUUAGAUACCCCGUAGUCCCUGUCUCUUAUACA